UGGGGAAGAGUGGUGGAAGAAAGUGCCAGGGAGGAGAAAGAGCUGCAGCCAACCAGAGCCCCCUUCCCAGGCUGUGGCUUCCACAAACUAUAGACCUUUCCAGGAGGAGAGGGGCUGAGACUCAAAAUCAGUAGGAUGACAGGAUGGAGUCUCCAGCUGUGAAAGUGUUGCUGCAGACAGCCCUCAGCUUCCAGUUCUUGUAAAAAUGGCCUCAGCUUCAGAGAGCUCCAUUACCCAAGCUCAUUCAUUUCCUGGGGUGUUCUGCAUCCAGUGAGUGUUCUGUGGACUUGCCAGAACACUCACUUUUGGAACCUGGCCACCAUGUUGGAAGGAAUCCCAGAGCACAUGAGGAGGCCUUUUGGGGGUGUUCCAGCUGACAGCCUUAGCUAAGGUCUUAGCUAAUAGUCAGCAUCAACUGCUGGCAAGUGAACAAGGCUUCAGAUGAUUCCAGCCCUCAGCUUUCCAGCUGAAAACAUUGUAAAGCAAAUACAGCCAUUUCCACUUUGCCCUGUCUGAAUUCCUGACCCACAGAAGCCAUGAGAGAUAACAAAUGAUUACUAGUGCUUUAAGCCACCGGGUUUGGGAAUCAUUUCUUAUGUAUCAAUAGAUUACAGCAAAUGUCAAAAAACUAUAGAUAAAGUUAGGAUGAUAAUUCAGCACAGUUGCUAGAUACAAAAGUCAAUAUUGAAAUCAAUUCUAUUUCUAUAUACUGGCAACAUACAGAAGUCAAAUUUAAAAUUUACAAUAGUAUAAAAAUAUAAUUAUCUAAGAACAAAUAUAACAAAAUCAUAUGAGUCCUUCAAAGAGAUAAUCACAGAACUCAAUUAAAAUAUACUGAAAAAGACCCCAAAAAGGAGAUAUGCAAGAUAUAUAUUACACUCAUGGAUUCACAGAAUUAAUAUUGUGUAGAUACCAAUUACCUCAAAAUUGAUGUACUAUAUUGUACCAACCAAAUCACAAUCACUUAGUAAUGUGUUGAGCUGAUUUUAGAGUUCAUAAGAGAAUUGAGAAGUCUAAGAAUAGCCAUGGCCUUCUGGAAGAACAAGGCACAGGAGACAUCAUUUAUGAGAAACAGGCCCUCACCAGA
rnacentral:lncRNA from 10 species